CAGCUAGCGGGAGGAGUUUAGACAAGGUAACAGACGAUACUGCGAAUGAAACUCCCAACAAACAGGAAGAAUUUUCCAAUGAUGAAAAGAUGCAGGAGGCCAAUGCACUUCCGGAGCUUUCAGAGCGGCGCGAAAGGCUCUCUUUGAACCAUUGGAACCUGUAACAAAUAUCAAUGGAAAACGACCAUCAGCUGAAUCCCUUCUCCCUCCACCUGAUUUCGACUCAACAAGCUAUCCCAAGGGUUGGCUAAUUGGAAAGAAGCGGAAGCUUGUUAAUGUAGAUGUUGUUGAAAGCAUGAGGAGGAUUGCUGUUCAGGAAAUGAACAGAAAGGACCGAGAAAUCAAUGGAUUAAAUGAGCAGUUGGAAGGGGAUGCAAGGUGUCUAGAACACCUGCAACUCCAGCUUCUGCAAGAACGAAGUAAACGUGCCGAGUUUGAGAGAGAGAACGCAAUGCUGCAAGACCAAGUAUCCAUGCUGAUGAACAUGCUAGAGGAAAAUGAACAAAUGGGUGAUGAAGGUGCCAGGGAUGAAGACCCUGAUGAACCUUAAACGGUAGCUUGAUUUUCUGUUUUAUUUUUUUGUAGGCUUGUUUGAAAAGUUAGAAGGAAUCACACAUGAAUAUAAAUAUAUAUGUCCUGAUAGUUUGUUGGAGGUGGUAUUGCUAUUACUUUGCGCAUGAUUGAUGUUGUUUAUAAUAGUCUCAUAUUUCGUAGGCAUAUACACCGAAGUAAUUUGUUCAUCUGUUAUUGCCUUGGCCGAGAAUAUUCAAUAUUUUUU
rnacentral:misc_RNA from 1 species